UAAGGAAUAUUGCGCAAUGGGCGACAGCCUGACGCAGCGACGCCGCGUGGGGGAUGAAGGCCCUAGGGUCGUAAACCCCUUUCAGCAGGGACGAAGAUGACGGUACCUGCAGAAGAAGCCCCGGCCAACUACGUGCCAGCAGCCGCGGUAAGACGUAGGGGGCGAGCGUUGUCCGGAUUUAUUGGGCGUAAAGAGCUCGUAGGCGGUUGCGUAAGUCGGAUGUGAAAACUCAGGGCUCAACCCUGAGACGCCAUCCGAUACUGCGCUGACUUGAAUCCAGUAGGGGAGUGCGGAAUUCCUGGUGUAGCGGUGAAAUGCGCAGAUAUCAGGAGGAACACCCAUGGCGAAGGCAGCACUCUGGGCUGGUAUUGACGCUGAGGAGCGAAAGCAUGGGUAGCGAACAGGAUUAGAUACCCUGGUAGUCCCUGAGCGGGCUGGCAAGGCGCAU
rnacentral:rRNA from 1 species